rnacentral:rRNA from 1 species
GAUGAACGCUGGCGGCGUGCCUAAUACAUGCAAGUCGAGCGAACAGAUGAGAAGCUUGCUUCUCUGAUGUUAGCGGCGGACGGGUGAGUAACACGUGGGUAACCUACCUAUAAGACUGGGAUAACUCCGGGAAACCGGGGCUAAUACCGGAUAAUAUUUUGAACCGCAUGGUUCAAUAGUGAAAGACGGUUUCGGCUGUCACUUAUAGAUGGACCCGCGCCGAAUUAGCUAGUUGGUAAGGUAACGGCUUACCAAGGCGCCGAUACGUAGCCGACGUGGGAGGGUGACCGGCCACACUGGGACUGAGGCACGGUCCAGACUCCUACGGGAGGCAGCAGUAGGGAAUCUUCCGCAAUGGGCGAAAGCCUGACGGAGCAACGCCGCGUGAGUGAUGAAGGUCUUCGGAUCGUAAAACUCUGUUGUUAGGGAAGAACAAAUUUGUUAGUAACUGAACAAGUCUUGACGGUACCUAACCAGAAAGCCACGGCUAACUACGUGCCAGCAGCCGCGGUAA